GAUGAACGCUAGCUACAGGCUUAACACAUGCAAGUCGAGGGGUAACGAGAGGAAAGCUUGCUUUCCUUGUCGACGACCGGCGCACGGGUGAGUAACGCGUAUCCAACCUGCCCCCAACUAGGGAAUAACCUUGCGAAAGUAAGACUAAUACCCUAUAAUUUCCUCAGAUGUCAUCUGACGAGGAAUCAAGAUUUAUCGGUGGUGGAUGGGGAUGCGUCUGAUUAGCUUGUUGGCGGGGAACGGCCCACCAAGGCAACGAUCAGUAGGGGUUCUGGGAGCAAGGUCCCCCUCAUUGGAACUGAGACACGGGCCAAACUCCUACGGGAGGAAGCAGUGAGGAAUAUUGAUCAAUGGGCGGAAGCCUGAACCAGACAAGUAGCGUGCAGGAUGACGGCCCUAUGGGUUGUAAACUGCUUUUAUACAGGAAUAAAGUUAGCCACGUGUGGUUAUUUGUAGGUACUGUAUGAAUAAGGACCGGCUAAUUCCGUGCCAGCCGCCGCCGUAA
rnacentral:rRNA from 1 species